rnacentral:tRNA from 1 species
GGUGGUUGUAGCUCAGCUGGUUAGAGCAUCGGUUUGUGGUACCGAGGGUCGCCGGUUCGAACCCGGUCUUCCACCCCCA